GGGUCAGUAGGUUGGUCGUGCCACCGGUACGUACUGGUCUCACUGAUUCCUCCUUCCUGAAGAACCGUAAUGCCAUUAAUUUGGUGUUGCGGGGAAACAGGACUGUUACUUUGAAAAAAUAGAGCGUUUAAAGCAAGCUAACGCUUGAAUACAUUAGCAUGGAAUAAUGAAAUAGGACGAUCGAUCCUAUUUUGUUGGUUUCUAGGAUUGACGUA
rnacentral:rRNA from 1 species